AUGACAUAUGUUUGUUGCCUAAAUGCCAGUCAGUCUUCCUAUUUCCUGGUUGCAUGGAUGGCAUGUAUAUGUAUGCUCUUUGAAAUGACCACAAAGAUGUUGUUUACUAUAGAUCACAGCAGAUCAUAUGCACCUGCAAGCAAUAAAUACUUCAUAUUAAAUGGAGCCAUGCUAAUAGCCAGCCAAAACGCCAGACUACUAUAUGAGAGAAGGCUUUAUGAUGACAUGGCAUUGCUAUAUAGCCAGCAGCCGGCUGUGCUAUUAUCUUUGCUUUUAGUUUGCGAUCAUAUUUCCAUGAUUGUAGGGGCCGCGAGACUGGUAGUUCCAAUACAAGGGCGUGGAGUUGCCUUAGUUUGCGGACUGGUAGUUCCAAUACCCCUCUCGCUUCACGGUUAG
rnacentral:rRNA from 1 species